rnacentral:rRNA from 1 species
AGGGUUUGACAUACAAGUGUAGGAAGGAAACUGGACGACCCUUCGGGGAGCUUGUACAGGUGCUGCAUGGCUGUCGUCAGCUCGUGUCGUGAGAUGUUCGGUUAAGUCCGCUAACGAGCGCAACCCUCGCUGUGUGUUACAAGUGUCACACGGAACUGCCGGUCAUAAACCGGAGGAAGGUGGGGAUGACGUCAAGUCAGCAUGGCCUUUAUAUCCUGGGCUACACACACGCUACAAUGGGAAGGGACAAUAGGUUGCGAAGCCGCGAGGCGGAGCCAAUCCAGCAAAACUUCCCUCAGUUCAGAUUGCAGGCUGCAACUCGCCUGCAUGAAGUUGGAGUUGCUAGUAAACGCAGGUCAGCCAUACUGCGUUGAAUACGUUCCCGGGGCUU